UACAGGGGGGGCAAGCGUUGUUCGGAAUUACUGGGCGUAAAGGGUCUGUAGGUGGCUUACUAAGUCAGACGUGAAAUCCCUCGGCUUAACCGGGGAACUGCGUCUGAUACUGGAUGGCUUGAGUUCGGGAGAGGGAUGCGGAAUUCCAGGUGUAGCGGUGAAAUGCGUAGAUAUCUGGAGGAACACCGGUGGCGAAGGCGGCAUCCUGGACCGACACUGACACUGAGGAGCGAAAGCCAGGGGAGCAAACGGG
rnacentral:rRNA from 1 species